rfam:Echinostoma caproni strain Egypt genome assembly, scaffold: ECPE_scaffold0000702
GCAUAGCUGACGAGUCCCAAACAGGAUGAAACAGCUUUCCAGUGC